rnacentral:rRNA from 1 species
GACGAACGCUGGCGGCGUGCUUAACACAUGCAAGUCGAACGGUGAAGGGACCAGCUUGCUGGUUCUGGAUGAGUGGCGAACGGGUGAGUAACACGUGAGUAACCUGCCCCCUUCUUCUGGAUAACCGCAUGAAAGUGUGGCUAAUACGGGAUAUUCUGGGUCUGUCGCAUGGCGGGCCCGGGAAAGAUAUUGCUUCGGUGGGGGAUGGGCUCGCGGCCUAUCAGCUUGUUGGUGGGGUGAUGGCCUACCAAGGCGGUGACGGGUAGCCGGCCUGAGAGGGUGGACGGUCACACUGGGACUGAGACACGGCCCAGACUCCUACGGGAGGCAGCAGUGGGGAAUAUUGCACAAUGGGCGCAAGCCUGAUGCAGCGACGCCGCGUGAGGGAUGGAGGCCUUCGGGGUGUAAACCUCUUUCGCCAGUGAAGCAGGCCUGCUCCGUGUGGGUGGGUUGACGGUAGCUGGAUAAGAAGCGCCGGCUAACUACGUG